AUGGUCACUCUUGGCUGCCUUGCCACCGGCUUUAACCCUCCUGCGGUGACUUUCUCGUGGACCAAAGGCGGCGCUGCCUUGACAGACUUCAUCCAGUACCCUGCAGUACAGAAAGGCAAUGUUUAUACUGGAGUCAGUCAAGUCCGAGUGAGGAGACAGGACUGGAAUGCACAACAGAAUUUACAAUGUGCUGUGACUCACGCUGCUGGGAAUGCACAGACUAUUGUCACACCACCACCACCACCACCACCGCCAUUUAAGCAGAAUCCGACUCUUAAAGCGUUUUCCUCCUCUUCUGAUGAGGAUGAUACCUAUACUGCCUCCUGCUUUGCCAAAGAGUUUGCACCAAAGACACAUAACUUAAAAUGGCUGAAAAACGGAGUAGACGUCACCAGCACAAUAGAUCUGACCGAAUCGAAAAAUGCGGCUGGAAAAACACUGUACAAUGCAGCAAGUUUUCUCACAGUAAACUCCAGUGACCUGAAUGAUCAGACUAGAUUUACAUGUCUGUUUACUGGAGGAGAAGGUGGAUCUUUGAAUAAAACUGUCAUUUACAAAAAGAACCAAUGUCCUGGUUGUGUUACAUCUAAUGUGAAAGUAGUAAUCAUCGGCCCCACAACUGAGGACAUGCUUGUCCGUAAAAAAGGAACUAUAACAUGUGCAGUCACAGUACAAAAAGAUGAACCCCAAAUAACCUGGGAGGAUGAGAAACUAGGGGACAUAGCAAGUAACCCAGUCACUAAAGUCAAAGACAAUGGGAAUACAUACGUGUCUAAGCUUGACAUCACCUAUGACGAAUGGACCAGGGGGGUAACACGCUUCUGUGUUGUUCACCACGAAGAUUUGAUUGAGCCUUUGAGGGAACCUUAUAAAAGGGAUUUCGGAGGAAACCCUCAGCGCCCGUCAGUGUUUAUGCUCCCUCCUUUAGAACAAACUAACAAAGCAGAGGUGACCCUGACUUGCUUUGUGAAAGACUUCUUCCCUAAGGACGUUUUUGUGUCUUGGCUUGUGGAUGACGAGGAAGCAGACUCAAUUUAUGCUUUUAAUACCACAGAACCCAUUGAAAACAAUGGAUUCUAUUCUGCUUAUGGCCAGUUAUUUGUCAGCCUUGACCAGUGGCAAAGGGAUGAUGCUGUCUAUAGCUGUGUAGUGUACCACGAAUCUGUGGUUAACACAACUAGAGCUAUUGUCAGGUCCAUUGGGUACAGAACAUUUGACAAAAACCGCAUUGACCUCAACAUGAACAUCAACCAAGACUCCAAGUGCUCGCUCCAGUAG